GCCCCCCAGAGUCUCUCUGCUGCUGCCGCAAGCGCCGCUGGCCCGGGGACCACAGAUUGGAAGCAGGCAGUCACUGGUCGUGGACAGGAAGACUCUCUCCGGCCAUCUCAGCUGUGGUCCUCUAACCUGUGCCUGUGAGCCACCAAGAGUGAACGGAAACUAGAAGCAUUGCCACCAACAACUGGAGCAGUGACCACACUGAAGUUUCUCUGGCGAGGGGGAAGGGGAGUAAGGAGAAAAAAAAAAAAAAGGCAAGUGAGCAAGCAAGCCAGCAAGCACAGGAGCACACUCUCGUGGAGGCCCACACCCUCCCUGUGCCUACCCAAGAUGUGUCCGGAGCUCCAAGCAGCAGCGAAAUAGUUGUACUUUCUCCAGCUGGCCCUAUGGCGGAGGCUAGGCCAGCUGAGCUGCAUGUCCAGACCUGCUCUGAAACUGCGCUCCUGGCUGCUGACCAUCCUCUACUACCUCCUGCCCUUCCGUGUGCUCAGGCCCCACAGCCAGGUGGGAUGGAGGCCCCUGAGCAGGGUAAGUGUAAAUAGGCCUCCUGGCCAUGAUCCUCCCUAGAGAGGCCUGAAGGGGAAGCACAGAGAAGGAAACAACUUAUCAGAGACCGCA
rnacentral:lncRNA from 1 species